rnacentral:rRNA from 1 species
CCUACGGGCGGCAGCAGUGGGGAAUAUUGCGCAAUGGGCGAAAGCCUGACGCAGCGACGCCGCGUGAGGGAUGAAGGUCUUCGGAUCGUAAACCUCUGUCAGCAGGGAAGAAGGGUCACAGUGCUAAACAGCAGUGAAUUGACGGUACCUGCAAAGGAAGCACCGGCUAACUCCGUGCCAGCAGCCGCGGUAAUACGGAGGGGGCGAGCGUUAAUCGGAAUGACUGGGCGUAAAGCGCUCGGAGGCGGUAUGUCAAGUCAAGGGUGAAAUCCCCGCGCUCAACGUGGGAACUGCCUUUGAUACUGGCACACUGGAGUGUGUGAGAGGGUAGUGGAAUUCCAGGUGUA